UAUCAUCUCCAACAAAACGCAUAAAAUGGGAUUUUAAUCCCUAAAUCUAGUACCCAUCUUCUCUUAAUUAGCGGUGGUUAUGGUGAGGUGCGGUGGUUCGAGGUUCGGGUCGUGGUGGUUCCUCGAUGAGGAAGUGGUUCGUGGCUGGGGCCACCUCUUCUCCUCUUCUCUUUUUGACUCGUUCAUGGUAAAGGAUUUAGGAUCCUUAAUUUUUGAUUUCAUCCUUCUUUCCUUCUAUCUUCAAUGGUGACAGUCCAAGGGUUGCUAAUGGUUGAAGCCAAGGCGGCUAGAAUGCAUUGGUGAUGGUGUGUGGUGGUUGUCAGUGAUGAGUUCGCUCAGAUGGUGGUGACGUGGUGGUUUCCAAUUUGGGCACUUAUUCUCACAGUUUUAUUCUCACAGAGGCUCCUUAAAACAGAGGGAGGAAACCAACAGGGUCGGCGUAUGGUGGCAUUAAUAACGUGAUGAAAGCAGUGUAACUGUGACUCCACGAUUGGUUAUUGGCAAAUGAUUUUGGUAAAGAACCCUAUCCCUCUUUCAAUCUAACUUUACUUAUUUGACAUAGUAUGAAGUAAUUAUUGAUAUGAGGAAAAACGAAUUGGUAUGAAUGUUUGUCCAGAAACAAAUUUCAUUUCAAAAUUGCUUUAAAGGAAUUAUUGAACAUUAGUUACUUUUGUCCUUAGCCAAACGUCAGUUUAUGCAUUUUUUAUAACCAGUCGAAUGAGAAUGGGCUGUAUAUAUCUUUGUGUAAUCAAGAAGAAUGUUUAUAAUUGAGCAUAUAAAUUCCAAAUACAGAUUAGCAACCAAAUGAAAGGAAUAUGCUUGUUACCUUAUAACCUUGUUGUAAUUGCCUUUUUCUUUGUGUUCCUGAUCAAAAACCAAUCUUUUUUUUUUGUGUAUAUGGGAUGCCUAGUAACAAAAAUGUGUUUCUCUCUGAUCGUGUAUUCUCUGUUUGGGGCUAUGUAAGUGUAUGUGUAUUCUUUUUGCAUGAUAGCUAUGCUUGUGUAUAUUCCCUCCUUUGAUAGUUCUAUACAUUUUUAUACUGAUCAUACUGCACUGCAUUUUUACCCACUUUGAAACUGCUCAAUAACUAUUUUCAUUCAUGUUGGUUACUCAUGAGUGUGUAAUUGAAAUGGAAUAUGCCAAACAACCACGACUUCUGGUUUGCAUCUCUUUUAAUUUUCUACAGGGCUGAAUCAUUUUUUCUUGUACUUUUUAUCCAAUAAUAUCUCCUGCUGUAACUGUUAGGAUAGAGGAUAUUCUCUAAUGAUUGCUUUAAUUUACAGAUUAUUCCAAUUAAAGCUGUCCAUUAAUAGUGAUUAUGUGCAUAGGUAACUACUGAGAUGCUUUCUGGUUUGCCUUUCAAGUAUACCUCUUGGCUGACUCAUUUUCUUUCCUCUUGAUGUAUAAUAUAACAGUUUGCAAAGAAAAUAUCUAGGCUGCCUAAUCUUUUGGUUUAUAUUUUGUCAGGUUCUCAUCUCCAGUUCUAAGAAGCAAAGUAGGAUUAAAUCCCGACAUGAAGGAGGCUUCUUGCUUGGUUGAAUGUCACAUCUAGUUUCAAAUGGGACUAUCUUGAAAGCUUUUGUUGGAUAGAUUGUAUGAUUCUUCAAGUCUAUUUGAUUGAGACUCUUGAGCAUUUGGCCUACACUGCUACGUAUCCUGGAUGUCUGAUGGUUUCUUAUGGCAGUUUCUUUUUGUUGAUUCUUUCUCUUUUUAGUUUUUUUAGCACGUGAUGUUUGAAUUGCCUUUUGAAGCAAAGAUUUCUAGUUCUUGUAUGAUUACGAAGAUAUCUCAACGGCCAGAAACAUAUUGAGGACAAUUAGGUACAAAUCAUAAAGCAAUAUUGUAAAUAUUAGAAUAUAUGGGUACAAACACAUCAUAUGAUUACACAUAAGCAUUAUUGGAGAAUCUAAGGCAACAUGAAAAGCAUUAUUUUAGAGUUGGACGGAUAUUUGUUAAUUAGUUAGCAUUAUCUGGGAUCACAUCACUAUUGGUUAAUGACAAACAUCA
rnacentral:lncRNA from 1 species